GACGAACGCUGGCGGCGUGCUUAACACAUGCAAGUCGAGCGAUGAAGCACCUUCGGGUGUGAAUUAGCGGCGAACGGGUGAGGAACACGUGAGAAAUCUGCCUUCAACACUGGGAUAACUCCGGGAAACCGGGGCUAAUACCGGAUAUGAAACCUGCGGGCAUCCGCGGGUUUGGAAAGUUUUUCGGUUGAAGAUGAUCUCGCGGCCUAUCAGCUUGUUGGUGAGGUAAUGGCUCACCAAGGCGACGACGGGUAGCCGGCCUGAGAGGGCGACCGGCCACACUGGGACUGAGACACGGCCCAGACUCCUACGGGAGGCAGCAGUGGGGAAUAUUGGGCAAUGGAGGAAACUCUGACCCAGCGACGCCGCGUGCGGGAUGAAGGCCUUCGGGUUGUAAACCGCUUUCAGCAGGGAAGAAGCGAAAGUGACGGUACUUGCAGAAGGAGCACCGGCUAACUAUGUGCCAGCCGCCGCUGUAA
rnacentral:rRNA from 1 species